rnacentral:rRNA from 1 species
UCCUACGGGAGGCAGCAGUGGGGAAUAUUGGACAAUGGGGGCAACCCUGAUCCAGCAAUGCCGCGUGUGUGAAGAAGGUUUUCGGAUUGUAAAGCACUUUCGACGGGGACGAUGAUGACGGUACCCGUAGAAGAAGCCCCGGCUAACUUCGUGCCAGCAGCCGCGGUAAU